rnacentral:tRNA from 1 species
GAAGACAUAGCUCAGUGGUAGAGUGUGCGCUUAGUAUGCACAAAGCCCUGGGUUUAAUCUCCAGCACCUCCA